rnacentral:misc_RNA from 1 species
UACGGAGGGGGCUAGCGUUGUUCGGAAUCACUGGGCGUAAAGCGCGCGUAGGCGGCGCGAUGAAGUCGGGCGUGAAAGCCCGGGGCUCAACCCCGGAACUGCGCUCGAUACUGGCGUGCUGGAGGACGGGAGAGGAGAGUGGAAUUCCCAGUGUAGAGGUGAAAUUCGUAGAUAUUGGGAAGAACACCGGUGGCGAAGGCGGCUCUCUGGCCCGAUCCUGACGCUGAGGCGCGAAAGCGUGGGGAGCAAACAGG